GUCUAUCUGAGACUCGGACUCUCCCAGCAUCUCGUCUCUCUCCCUGUGUUGGUCGCCGAGCCAUCCUCUCUAUCCCGGCACCGGUUGCCAACGCCUCGCGCCUGCUCCCGCGAGGCCGCGACGCACAACACGUUGACUCCGUGGCCUCUUCCUCUCUCCCAGUCCUAGCAUCGGCCGCCGCCGCUGCGAAUCUCACCCUCUCCAAGUUGCCGGACGGCCGGACGCCAAUGUUGUGCGCCUACGCCGCGUGCUGACGCGCGCCAGCGCCGCUUGCCGACGCCGCGCCCCGCACGCCCGUCGCCGCUCCACGCUUCCUGGAACUUGAAGGCGGCAACACAUAUGACAAUGACACGGAGAAGCUUCGGAAGCUACAGGCCUACGGAGGAAACCCUCCGGAACAGCAUCGAAUGCCACCGACGUUUGGGCAUCCUGAACUGAGCAUCCAUCCAGCUGGGUCACCUUGCUAGGUUUGGCUGCUGGUACUAGCAAACUGUUUGUCUGAACAUGUAAAAGGUGAAGCAGAAUAAGCUUGUGACGGUACCGAACCAGUUAGGGCACCAUGUGAGGUAGUAGAGUUUAAGAUUCAGAGCACCAUCGUUUCAGAGUUGUGCGUGGGCUUUCGGGCUGCAAGGCAUGCAUUAUUCUACGGGGUGUUACUUGUUACGUGUUGUAAAUUUGCGAGUGCAGAAUUGAAAUUCCGAUUCAGAGUUUUCGAGAACAAAUUCAAGUGUCA